rnacentral:rRNA from 1 species
GGAGAAAGAUCCAGGACCACUCCUGUCUGAGGGCCGGCUGUAUAAAAAUAUAUACCACACUGUUC